rnacentral:rRNA from 1 species
UACGGAGGGUGCAAGCGUUGUCCGGAUUUAUUGGGUUUAAAGGGUGCGUAGGCGGUUCUUUUAAGUCAGUGGUGAAAGCCUCCAGCUUAACUGGAGAAAUGCCAUUGAUACUGAAGAACUUGAGUACAGACGAGGUAGGCGGAAUUGACAGUGUAGCGGUGAAAUGCAUAGAUAUUGUCAAGAACACCGAUUGCGAAGGCAGCUUACUAGACUGUAACUGACGCUGAGGCACGAAAGUGCGGGGAUCAAACAGG